rnacentral:rRNA from 1 species
UACGGGGGAGCAAGCGUUGUUCGGAUUUACUGGGCGUAAAGGGCGCGUAGGCGGCGCAACAAGUCACUUGUGAAAUCUCCGGGCUUAACCCGGAGCGGUCAAGUGAUACUGUCGUGCUAGAGUGCGGAAGGGGCUACUGGAAUUCUCGGUGUAGCGGUGAAAUGCGUAGAUAUCAAGAGGAACACCUGAGGCGAAGGCGGGUCUCUGGGCCGUAACUGACGCUGGAGGAGCGGAAAGCAUGGGGAGCGAACAGG